rnacentral:rRNA from 1 species
UACGAAGGGUGCAAGCGUUACUCGGAAUUACUGGGCGUAAAGCGUGCGUAGGUGGUUUGUUAAGUCUGAUGUGAAAGCCCUGGGCUCAACCUGGGAACGGCAUUGGAAACUGGCUUACUAGAGUGCGGCAGAGGAGACUGGAAUUCCUGGUGUAGCAGUGAAAUUCGUAGAUAUUAGGAAGAACACCAGUGGCGAAGGCGGCUAUCUGGCUCGGUACUGACGCUCAGGUUCGAAAGCGUGGGGAGCAAACAGG